UGACCCGCGGAAAGAGGAAGUUGAUACAAUGCAUUGAGAUCUUAUUCCUUGAACUUUCUAAUAUUUCUUUUCAACUUUCUGCUGUCCAAAUUUGGCUUUGGAUGUCUGGGGCUUGCUGGUGGCUACAACGUCCCUGUCGAUGAAGAAGGCGGCAUUUCAAUCAUCAAUGAAGCAUUCAAUAGAGGAAGUACAACGCCCCUCUCUCUGAAGAAGGCAUUUCAAUCAUGCAGGAAGCAUUCAAUAAAGGAAGCAUUGUAUCACCCUUCAGUGCCACUAGAGGAAACUGUACCCAUAUGGGCUAGGUGUAUAAGAGACGCAGUAUGGUUGCCAACUUAGUCCAGAAAGCUGAAAAGAAUGGAUACAAAUCUAUUAUCCAAACAGCUGAUAGUCCAAGACUCGGUUGAAGAGAAGUAAACAUAAAGAAUAAGUGCCUAUCAAUACUUCCGCUUUCAAUUUAUUUGAACACACUAUUAUACUUUGCUUGAAAUGCCUCACAUGGUGAGGAUGCAACAUAAAUAUUAGUUAGUGAUCUAAUCAUAAAGGUGUUUCUAUC